rnacentral:rRNA from 1 species
GCCUACGGGGGGCAGCAGUGGGGAAUAUUGCCCAAUGGGGGAAACCCUGAUGCAGCGACGCCGCGUGAGUGAAGAAGUAUUUCGGUAUGUAAAGCUCUAUCAGCAGGGAAGAAAAAAGACGGUACCUGACUAAGAAGCCCCGGCUAACUACGUGCCAGCAGCCGCGGUAAUACGUAGGGGGCAAGCGUUAUCCGGAUUUACUGGGUGUAAAGGGAGCGUAGACGGCGCGGCAAGUCUGAAGUGACAGGCAGGGGCUUAACCCCUGAACUGCUUUGGAAACUGCCAUGCU